rnacentral:autocatalytically_spliced_intron from 1 species
AGGAGCCGGAUGCGUCAAUCGCGCACGUCCGGAUCUGAGGGGGGCCGGGACGAGCAAUCGCCCGGUCUACCCGAC